GUCGUCCAUUAAUUACGUCACACGAAUUUCUAGGUUUUUUGACCCCUCCCCCCUCCUUGUCACACUUGGUCACAUUUGGCAAACCCCUCCCCCUAGUGUGACGUCACAUUUUUUCUACGAAAUCGCCAAAUCGAAUUAAGUAAGUAUCUAAGUAUUAUUAAUAUUUUAUCAAAAUAUUUUUGACGAUAUAAAUAUUAGUAAUUUUAUAACCCAAAACUGCUUAGGAAAGAAAAUUAAACGAAUAAAAACGAUUAUUGUUUUAAAAACUUGUUAUUUAAAUGUACAGCGAAUAAAAUAAUUAAAUAAAUUUUUGGUUACUGAUGAAGUUAAAGUGACGUCACAAAGUUUGUGUCUCCCUCCCCCAUGUCACAAUAUGUCACAUUUUCUUGACCCCCUCCCUCCCCCUAAACGUGUGAUGUAAUUAAUGGAUGACCCCUUACUACAGAAACUAAAAGCACAUUAUGUUUCAUGUCACCUCUAUUGCUAAAGACAUAAAAUUACAGAUAGCAACUACUACCAGGGGCCCAUUUCUCAAAAGCUUGUAGUUUGUAAUACAAGUGGAAGUUCCUUUCUAAAAAAAGCUGUCAAAAUCGCUGUGUGACACAAAAAGUGUGGCAUCCACUUGUAUUACAAGUUACAAGCUUUUAGAAACGGGCCCCAGCACUCAAGACAUUUUUGUCUGUAGAAAAUUUAAAACAGUAAUAUGUUUAUUUUUUUUCUAGAAAUAAACAAUUGAAACCAGUGCGCAGUCAGUUAACUCAGUAGUCAAUUUGCUAGAAACCGGCAUUAAUAUGUAGUGAUCGGUAACAAAGUUUUAAUUUCAUGGCAGUAUGGCAGAGUUGCAUUAAAGGAAAGUAACAAUUUUGAAGGAGACAGUCAAAUAAGGUUCAUUAAAAUUAUUGGUAAUGGUUAAUAACCUUUAUAUGAACGCUGCAAUGAAAUUAAAUAAUAAAUAAAUAUUAUAGGACAUUCUUACACAGAUUGACUAAGUCCCACAGUAAGCUCAAUAAGGCUUGUGUUGUAGGUACUCAGACAACGAUAUAUAGGUCCUUUUUUUUUAUAUACAAAUACUUAAAUACAUAGAAAACACCCAUGACUCAGGAACAAAUAUCUGUAUCAUCAUACAAAUAAAUGCCCUUACUGGGAUUCGAACCCAGGACCAUCGGCUUCGCAGGCAGGGUCACUACCCACUAGGCCAGACCGGUCGUCA